rnacentral:rRNA from 1 species
GAGGAAAGAGGGAGGCGUGCUUAACACAUGCAAGUCGAACGGAAAGGCCCUGCUUUUGUGGGGUGCUCGAGUGGCGAACGGGUGAGUAACACGUGAGUAACCUGCCCUUGACUUUGGGAUAACUUCAGGAAACUGGGGCUAAUACCGGAUAGGAGCUCCUGCUGCAUGGUGGGGGUUGGAAAGUUUCGGCGGUUGGGGAUGGACUCGCGGCUUAUCAGCUUGUUGGUGGGGUAGUGGCUUACCAAGGCUUUGACGGGUAGCUGGCCUGAGAGGGUGACCGGCCACAUUGGGACUGAGAUACGGCCCAGACUCCUACGGGAGGCAGCAGUGGGGAAUAUUGCACAAUGGGCGGAAGCCUGAUGCAGCAACGCCGCGUGCGGGAUGACGGCCUUCGGGUUGUAAACCGCUUUCGCCUGUGACGAAGCGUGAGUGACGGUAAUGGGUAAAGAAGCACCGGCUAACUACGUG